UCUCGCCGCACGUCCCGACGCCGCCUCCGUCGGGGCCCAGCGCGGGCGGCGCCGCCUCGGCCGGGCCGUGCUGCGCGAAGCCGCCCUCCGCCCGCUUCAGGCGCUUCACCUGCUUCCGCCGCCGCGGCCGGUACUUGUAGUUCGGGUGGUCCUGCAUGUGCUGCACCCGCAGCCGCUCCGCCUCCUCCACGAACGGCCGCUUCUCCGCCAGCGACAGCGCCUUCCACGAUUUACCCAGCAUCUUGCUGAGCUCCGCGUUGUGCAGGUCCGGGUUCUGCUGCGCCAGCCGCUUGCGCUCGUCCUUCGCCCACACCAUGAAGGCGUUCAUGGGCCGCCGGAUCCGCGCCUCGCCCUUGCCGCGCCCGCCCGUCGCCCCCGCCUCGCCCUUCGCCUUGGCCUCGCCCGGCGGGCUCAGCGCCUCCGCCCAGGGGCACGGGCCCAGGGCCGGCAUCAUAGCGGGCAGCGCGCCCCGGCCCUGCGCCUGCUCCUCGCUGCUGGCGUAGCCCGCAUCGGGGCUGCUCAUCGCGGGGCGCCCGGGCCCCGACGGCCACGGACGGACGAGCGCGC
rnacentral:lncRNA from 1 species